UACGGGGGGAGCAAGCGUUGUUCGGAUUUACUGGGCGUAAAGGGCGCGUAGGCGGCCAGCCACAAGUCAGUUGUGAAAUCUCCGAGCUUAACUCGGAAAGGUCAACUGAUACUGUGCGGCUAGAGUACAGAAGGGGCAACUGGAAUUCUUGGUGUAGCGGUGAAAUGCGCAGAUAUCAGGAGGAACACCGGUGGCGAAGGCGGGUCUCUGGGCCGAUACUGACGCUGAGGAGCGAAAGCGUGGGGAGCGAACAGG
rnacentral:rRNA from 1 species